GGUAGUGUGGCCGAGUGGUUAAGGCGCUGUGUUCAGGUGCAGUUCGUACUAGAACCGCAGUCUUCGGGCGCGGGUUCGAAUCCCGUCGCUGCCA
rfam:Cryptococcus dejecticola CBS 10117 unplaced genomic scaffold supercont1.5, whole genome shotgun sequence.